GACGAACGCUGGCGGCGCGCCUAACACAUGCAAGUCGAACGAGCGAGAGAGAGCUUGCUUUCUUGAGCGAGUGGCGAACGGGUGAGUAACGCGUGAGGAACCUGCCUCAAAGAAGGGGACAACAGUUGGAAACGACUGCUAAUACCGCAUAAGCCCACGGGUCGGCAUCGACCAGAGGGAAAAGGAGCAAUCCGCUUUGAGAUGGCCUCGCGUCCGAUUAGCUAGUUGGUGAGGUAAUGGCCCACCAAGGCGACGAUCGGUAGCCGGACUGAGAGGUUGAACGGCCACAUUGGGACUGAGACACGGCCCAGACUCCUACGGGAGGCAGCAGUGGGGAAUAUUGCACAAUGGGGGAAACCCUGAUGCAGCGACGCCGCGUGGAGGAAGAAGGUCUUCGGAUUGUAAACUCCUGUUGUUGGGGAAGAUAAUGACGGUACCCAACAAGGAAGUGACGGCUAACUACGUGCCAGCAGCCGCGGUAAAACGUAGGUCACAAGCGUUGUCCGGAAUUACUGGGUGUAAAGGGAGCGCAGGCGGGAAGACAAGUUGGAAGUGAAAUCUAUGGGCUCAACCCAUAAACUGCUUUCAAAACUGUUUUUCUUGAGUAGUGCAGAGGUAGGCGGAAUUCCCGGUGUAGCGGUGGAAUGCGUAGAUAUCGGGAGGAACACCAGUGGCGAAGGCGGCCUACUGGGCACCAACUGACGCUGAGGCUCGAAAGUGUGGGUAGCAAACAGGAUUAGAUACCCUGGUAGUCCACACCGUAAACGAUGAUUACUAGGUGUUGGAGGAUUGACCCCUUCAGUGCCGCAGUUAACACAAUAAGUAAUCCACCUGGGGAGUACGACCGCAAGGUUGAAACUCAAAGGAAUUGACGGGGGCCCGCACAAGCAGUGGAGUAUGUGGUUUAAUUCGACGCAACGCGAAGAACCUUACCAAGUCUUAACAUCCCUUGACAGGCAUAGAAAUAUGUUUUCUCUUCGGAGCAAGGAGACAGGUGGUGCAUGGUUGUCGUCAGCUCGUGUCGUGAGAUGUUGGGUUAAGUCCCGCAACGAGCGCAACCCUUAUGGUCAGUUACUACGCAAGAGGACUCUGGCCAGACUGCCGUUGACAAAACGGAGGAAGGUGGGGAUGACGUCAAAUCAUCAUGCCCUUUAUGACUUGGGCUACACACGUACUACAAUGGCGUUAAACAAAGAGAAGCAAGACCGCGAGGUGGAGCAAAACUCAGAAACAACGUCCCAGUUCGGACUGCAGGCUGCAACUCGCCUGCACGAAGUCGGAAUUGCUAGUAAUCGUGGAUCAGCAUGCCACGGUGAAUACGUUCCCGGGCCUU
rnacentral:rRNA from 1 species